rnacentral:rRNA from 1 species
UACGAAGGGAGCUAGCGUUGUUCGGAAUCACUGGGCGUAAAGCGCACGUAGGCGGAUGUGUCAGUCAGGGGUGAAAGCCCGAAGCUCAACUUCGGAAUUGCCUUUAAGACUGCAUCGCUAGAAUCGUGGAGAGGUAAGUGGAAUUCCGAGUGUAGAGGUGAAAUUCGUAGAUAUUCGGAAGAACACCAGUGGCGAAGGCGGCUCACUGGCCCGAUACUGACGCUGAGGCACGAAAGCGUGGGGAGCAAACAGG